rnacentral:rRNA from 1 species
UACAGAGGGUGCGAGCGUUAAUCGGAAUUACUGGGCGUAAAGCGCACGUAGGCGGCUUGGUAAGUCGGGUGUGAAACCCCCGGGCUCAACCCGGGGACGCCACCUGAUACUGCUAUGGCUUGAGUCCGGUAGGGGAGCGUGGAAUUCCUGGUGUAGCGGUGAAAUGCGCAGAUAUCAGGAGGAACACCAGCGGCGAAGGCGGCGCUCUGGGCCGGAACUGACGCUGAGGAGCGAAAGCGUGGGGAGCAAACAGG